rnacentral:rRNA from 1 species
GCAAGUCGAACGAGAAAGUUUCCUUCGGGAAACGAGUAGAGUGGCGCACGGGUGAGUAACACGUGGAUAACCUGCCCUGUGAUCUGGGAUAACCCACCGAAAGGAGGGCUAAUACCGGAUAAGCCCACAGAGACUUCGGUCUCAGUGGGAAAAGAUUUAUUGUCACAGGAUGGGUCCGCGGUCCAUUAGCUAGUUGGUAGGGUAAUGGCCUACCAAGGCGACGAUGGAUAGCUGGUCUGAGAGGAUGAUC